rnacentral:rRNA from 1 species
AUACGAAGGGUGCAAGCGUUAAUCGGAAUUACCGGGCGUAAAGCGUCGCGUAGGUGGUUCAGUAAGUUAGGAGUGAAAGCCCCGGGCUUAACCUGGGAAUUGCUUCUAAAACUGCUGAGCUAGAGUACGGUAGAGGGUGGUGGAAUUUCCUGUGUAGCGGUGAAAUGCGUAGAUAUAGGAAGGAACAUCAGUGGCGAAGGCGACCACCUGGACUGAUACUGACACUGAGGUGCGAAAGCGUGGGGAGC